rnacentral:rRNA from 1 species
GACGAGCCGUGCGAACGUUAUUCGGAAUCCCUGGGCUUAAAGCGCGUGUAGGCGGGACGGCACGUCUGUCGCUGAAAUCCCCCGGCUUAACCGGGGAACUGGCGGAGAUACGACCGUCCUGGAGGGGCGUAGGGGGAUCUGGAACUUCCGGUGGAGCGGUGAAAUGCGUUGAGAUCGGAAGGAACGCCCGUGGCGAAAGCGAGGUCCUGGACGCCUACUGACGCUGAGACGCGAAAGCCAGGGGAGCGAACGGG